GUCGCGACCGGAGGGCACUCGAACCGCAGAUCGGGAGGCCCGCGGCGAGCCGGCCGCCGACCUCUGCCCGGUGCUGGCCCCCGGGGUGUGCAGCGAGGUGUAAGGAAAGCUGCCCGCCGGAACCGAUGAGGCGGGCGCACGGUGCCCCCUCUACAUCAGCAGCCUGCACGCCGCUCGGUGCCGUGGGCCCCGGGGAUCUGGGUCUCCCUCCGCCCAGCGUCCACCGCAGCCUGCAGCGCUUCGGCCUUCCUUGACACGACACACGGGUUCCCAUCCCGCGCCCGUGCCCACCUGUGUCACUAUCCUUGGCCAUCCCGCUGGAGCGUCCCGGGCCGGGGUCCAGUCUCCAUCUUCAGGGUCCAGGUCUGCCUUUAGAACCCUGUCAGCCGUGUCACCUUGGCCUCCGGUCUGGGAGCCUGAGCGGCAGAGACCAGAGCAGACCCUCAGCCGAGGCUGCCGGGUGGGCAGGCACCCUUUCUGAGCGCUCCACAGGGUGCCAUCCGCCCGAACUCUGACGGACGAGACACAGCGACUGAUGAACUGCACCGGGCUUAAACGUCCAUGAGCUUCCAGGAACAUGAAGACCGCCCCCUUUGCAGCCGCCCCUCCUCUUCCUGGGACUGUGUUCCAGUCAGCAUGCCUGUGUGGAAAGCGGCAUUGUGGAAGAUGCAGUUAGCAGGCCUGUCAUCCUCAGAGCACCAGAGCCGUUUCCCGUGGUGAAGGCACAGCUGAUGGGAUUAUGACUCUCCUGCUGUUCAGAAUCACCUUGGUGUAGUGAACUGAGCACUAAUGGUCCACAACAAGAUCAAAGUUCAAAAGGGGGAACGUGGUUUCUACUGAAGUCGCAUUCCCUUUGCGCCAACAUCAAGUAAAAAAAUCCUUCAGUGGA